GGUCGCUUAGCUCAGUUGGUUAGAGCGUGGUGCUAAUAAGCAAUUCCUUGAUAACGCCAAGGUCGCAGGUUCGACCCCUGCAGUGAUCA